GUUUGUCUUCCCUUUCUUAUUCUUUGUUAUAUUUAAUGAUACUAACAUUCCAAUGCUUAAUUCAGGCUGCUCAAAAACAUCCUCUAACCCCCAUAAAAAUACAAAAUAAACCCACAAAAGCCCUUGUCACGAUAGAUUCUAACGAAGAGGAUCUGUCACCAGUGCUCGACCUAACUUCCAGGAAGAGGAAGCAGCAACCAAAGAUCACUGACGCUUUGAGCCAACCUCCAACAAAACUCUCCAAG
rnacentral:lncRNA from 1 species